rnacentral:rRNA from 1 species
GAUGAACGCUGGCGGCGUGCCUAAUACAUGCAAGUCGAGCGAACAGACGAGGAGCUUGCUCCUCUGACGUUAGCGGCGGACGGGUGAGUAACACGUGGAUAACCUACCUAUAAGACUGGGAUAACUUCGGGAAACCGGAGCUAAUACCGGAUAAUAUAUUGAACCGCAUGGUUCAAUAGUGAAAGACGGUUUUGCUGUCACUUAUAGAUGGAUCCGCGCCGCAUUAGCUAGUUGGUAAGGUAACGGCUUACCAAGGCAACGAUGCGUAGCCGACCUGAGAGGGUGAACGACCACACAGGACCUGAGACACGGUCCAGACUCCUACGGGAGGCAGCAGUAGGGAAUCUUCCGCAAUGGGCGAAAGCCUGACGGAGCAACGCCGCGUGAGUGAUGAAGGACUUCGGAUCGUAAAACUCUGUUAUUAGGGAAGAACAAAUGUGUAAGUAACUAUGCAGGUCUUGACGGUACCUAAUCAGAAAGCCACGGCUAACUACGU